GGGCGGGUCCCCGGGGGGGGUCCCCGGGCCGGCGCCCCGCCUCGGCCGGCGCCUAGCAGCCGGCUUAGAACUGGUGCGGACCAGGGGAAUCCGACUGUUUAAUUAAAACAAAGCAUCGCGAAGGCCCGCGGCGGGUGUUGACGCGAUGUGAUUUCUGCCCAGUGCUCUGAAUGUCAAAGUGAAGAAAUUCAAUGAAGUGCGGGCAAACAGCGGGCGUAACUAUGACUCUCCGUUUGAAGCCAAGCGGAGAAAAUGGCGGCGGCGCCGGGCGCGGCUCCGCUGUCCCGGGACGGAGCUGUAGUUAGAUCGGGUCUGGCGGUCGGAAGAUACCGUGCUGUACGGGAAGACAGGGCCCCCUCUCUUAUCAGCAGUUAGAUAGUGAUGUGAGCAGACUGGAAUGAGAUUGUAAACCCAGGUUAUAUAAGGCUGUAUCACUUUCGAAUAAACGCCAUUUUGCUGUCC
rnacentral:ncRNA from 1 species